rnacentral:misc_RNA from 1 species
ACUCUUCAACUCUAAAACACAACCAACCCAUACUUAAAGCUCCAAAAACUCAAUUCAAACCUAUAAACAAGCCAUAAACUAAUCAACUAAGACUUUUAAGCUUAAUAACACAACAUGCUUUUGAAGAUUCACUAAUUCAAGCAAAAAUGCAAAAAUUCUCCUAGCUUCAAAAAUCAUUAAAGAAGAAAGGAAAAAACAACCUAAACAACAAAAUUCUUUUGCAUGCAACCUACUAGAACUUAGGGUUUGGAGUAAAAAAGGUGAGCCUACCUCUUGUAG